rnacentral:rRNA from 1 species
CACAUGCAAGUCGAGCGGUAAGGCCCUUCGGGGUACACGAGCGGCGAACGGGUGAGUAACACGUGGGUGAUCUGCCCUGUACUUCGGGAUAAGCCUGGGAAACUGGGUCUAAUACCGGAUAUGACCUUACAUCGCAUGGUGUUUGGUGGAAAGAUUUAUCGGUACAGGAUGGGCCCGCGGCCUAUCAGCUUGUUGGUGGGGUAAUGGCCUACCAAGGCGACGACGGGUAGCCGGCCUGAGAGGGCGACCGGCCACACUGGGACUGAGACACGGCCCAGACUCCUACGGGAGGCAGCAGUGGGGAAUAUUGCACAAUGGGCGAAAGCCUGAUGCAGCGACGCCGCGUGAGGGAUGACGGCCUUCGGGUUGUAAACCUCUUUCGACAGGGACGAAGCGCAAGUGACGGUACCUGUAGAAGAAGCACCGGCCAACUACGUGCCAGCAGCCGCGGUAAUACGUAGGGUGCGAGCGUUGUCCGGAAUUACUGGGCGUAAAGAGCUUGUAGGCGGUUUGUCGCGUCGUCCGUGAAAACUUGGGGCUCAACCCCAAGCUUGCGGGCGAUACGGGCAGACUUGAGUACUGCAGGGGAGACUGGAAUUCCUGGUGUAGCGGUGAAAUGCGCAGAUAUCAGGAGGAACACCGGUGGCGAAGGCGGGUCUCUGGGCAGUAACUGACGCUGAGAAGCGAAAAGCGUGGGUAGCGAACAGGAUUAGAUACCCUGGUAGUCCACGCCGUAAACAGUGGGGCGCUAGGUGUGGGUUUCCUUCCACGGGAUCCGUGCCGUUAGCUAACGCAUUAAGCGCCCCGCCUGGGGAGUAC